UACGAAGGGGGCUAGCGUUGCUCGGAAUCACUGGGCGUAAAGGGUGCGUAGGCGGCCUUGUCAGUCAGGCGUGAAAGCCCCGGGCUCAACCUGGGAACGGCGCUUGGGACGGCGAGGCUGGAGUUCGGGAGAGGAGAGUGGAAUUCCCAGUGUAGAGGUGAAAUUCGUAGAUAUUGGGAAGAACACCGGUGGCGAAGGCGGCUCUCUGGACCGACACUGACGCUGAGGCGCGAAAGCGUGGGGAGCAAACAGG
rnacentral:rRNA from 1 species